UUGUCGAAUUCCUGCAAAAGCAGACCGCGAACACGUCAAACCAUAUUGGGACCGCGGGACUUGAGGGAGACUUCUUGCCCGCGCCCAUCCCUCGCACGGCGCGCGUCAAGGCGCGCGUGGUGCGGGCUAACGAACCCCGGCGCGGCAUGUGCCAAGGAAAACUCACAGAAGCGUCGGCCUCCCUUUGCCCCGUUCGCGGUGUGCGGAGGGUGAACUGAUGUCUCUCCAAUGUCAUAACGACUCUCGGCAACGGAUAUCUCGGCUCUCGCAUCGAUGAAGAACGUAGCGAAAUGCGAUACUUGGUGUGAAUUGCAGAAUCCCGUGAACCAUCGAGUCUUUGAACGCAAGUUGCGCCCGAAGCCAUUCGGCCGAGGGCACGUCUGCCUGGGCGUCACGCAUCGCGUCGCCUCCCACGCCCACACCCUAAGGGGUGAUCGGGUUGUGGAGGCGGAUAUUGGCCCCCCGUGUGCUAUGCCGCGCGGCCGGCCUAAAUGCGAACCCGUGGCAACUCACGUCACGACCAGUGGUGGUUGAAACACUCAACUCGCGUGCUGUUUGUCGUGCCGUUUCAGUUUGCCGUCGGGCUUCGUCGCAGACCCUAUAGCGCGAUCCUAUCGUGCUUUCGACCGCGACCCCA
rnacentral:rRNA from 1 species